CGCUGGCGGCGUGCCUAAUACAUGCAAGUAGGACGCUGAAGCUUGGUGCUUGCACCGAGCGGAUGAGUUGCGAACGGGUGAGUAACGCGUAGGUAACCUGCCUCUUAGCGGGGGAUAACUAUUGGAAACGAUAGCUAAUACCGCAUAAAAGUCGACAUUGCAUGAUGUUGACUUGAAAGGUGCAAUUGCAUCACUAAGAGAUGGACCUGCGUUGUAUUAGCUAGUUGGUGAGGUAACGGCUCACCAAGGCGACGAUACAUAGCCGACCUGAGAGGGUGAUCGGCCACACUGGGACUGAGACACGGCCCAGACUCCUACGGGAGGCAGCAGUAGGGAAUCUUCGGCAAUGGGGGCAACCCUGACCGAGCAACGCCGCGUGAGUGAAGAAGGUUUUCGGAUCGUAAAGCUCUGUUGUAAGAGAAGAACGAGUGUGAGAGUGGAAAGUUCACACUGUGACGGUAACUUACCAGAAAGGGACGGCUAACUACGUGCCAGCAGCCGCGGUAAUACGUAGGUCCCGAGCGUUAUCCGGAUUUAUUGGGCGUAAAGCGAGCGCAGGCGGUUAGAUAAGUCUGAAGUUAAAGGCUGUGGCUUAACCAUAGUACGCUUUGGAAACUGUUUAACUUGAGUGCAGAAGGGGAGAGUGGAAUUCCAUGUGUAGCGGUGAAAUGCGUAGAUAUAUGGAGGAACACCGGUGGCGAAAGCGGCUCUCUGGUCUGUAACUGACGCUGAGGCUCGAAAGCGUGGGGAGCAAA
rnacentral:rRNA from 1 species